rnacentral:tmRNA from 1 species
GGGGUUGUCUAGAUUCGACAGGAUGCACUUUGAAAAUACGCAAGCCGAUUAUGAAGGUGAUAUCGCAAAUCUCUCCUUCACGAUGACAUCUGCAAACUUCAUCACAAAGGCAAAGCAAGCCUUCGCGCAAGCGUUCCAGCCUGCUUUCGCUUCCGCUCUCGCCUAACUUCGUUCGGUGAGUGCCAUCGGACUCCCGACUCCCGAUAGGGAAUGUUCCGGUGUUAUAUUUUCGGGAAAACCCGAUACUCUCGCCUCAUGGAGUAUCGAUCGUUUCUGCACAUGAGACACGUCGACCCGUUUUCGCACGCUUUUACGGUCCGACGCAUAUGAAGCGCGCUAUGCUUGUAGACUAUUUUUAAACCUCAUCACUGGACAUGGGUGCAAUUCCCAUCAACUCCACCU